rnacentral:rRNA from 1 species
UACGGGGGGGGCAAGCGUUGUUCGGAAUUACUGGGCGUAAAGGGCUCGUAGGUGGCCAACUAAGUCAGACGUGAAAUCCCUCAGCUUAACUGGGGAACUGCGUCUGAUACUGGAUGGCUUGGAUUUGGGAGAGGGAUGCGGAAUUCCAGGUGUAGCGGUGAAAUGCGUAGAUAUCUGGAGGAACACCGGUGGCGAAGGCGGCAUCCUGGACCAACAUUGACGCUGAGGAGCGAAAGCCAGGGGAGCAAACGGG